UGCAUUCUGUCUCAGAGCUGGUCC
rnacentral:piRNA from 1 species